rnacentral:misc_RNA from 1 species
GAAAGAGAUACUGAAUGAGCUUUGUGUGUACAACAAAAGAGGGACUAAUCAAGGAACAUACGAGCUUAAACCCGAAUACAAGAAAUCUGCUGAAGAUACCGGCGGAGAGUAGUAGGUUAGUUUUUGACUGUGUCAUCAUAUAAAUUCCCUUCCUUUGGGGUAGGUGGAAACGAUCCGAAAUAAAUCUGCUAAUUAAGAGGGAAAAAGAAUAUUUUGCUUUGUUAUAUUUUCAUGGGAGGGGAGAGAUGGAGAAUGAAAAGAAGUUGGUUUAAAAUAAUUGCUAGGUAGCUUUAUACUAAAGUGAAACCAAAGGUGAAAAUGGAAGUUGGGGUGGAGAGUUCUUAUGGCAUGUUUUUUCAAUUGCGUACAAGGUCGUCGGAAGUUGCAAAAUGAAUCUGUAUAAUGGAUUUUAU